AAGUCGUAACAAGGUUUCCGUAGGUGAACCUGCGGAAGGAUCAUUAAUACGCUUUUGUUUGUAACAAAACAAAACGUUUUAAACCCCAAAAUUGAAAUAGUGGAAACAUAACUUCCGGAUGCGAAUGUUGGGGAACUGAGUAAAAUCGGUUCUUUGAAAAGGGGACUUCAAGCAAUUGACACUUCAGAAGUAGAGCAGUGAGGUGAAACUCGAAAGAGUUUGGUUCUGAAAAACAUUUGUAUCCGGUUAUCAAAUCUGUUCUACCAAUUUAUCAAACAAUAAACCCCAUGUACAACAACUUGAACUAAACAUUUUUUUGUUGUCUGCUUUGCGGCAGAUGUGCAAAGAAAAAACCUGAACUUAAGAACAACUCUUAACAACGGAUAUCUUGGUUCUC
rnacentral:misc_RNA from 1 species